CCUACGGGUGGCAGCAGUGGGGGAUAUUGCACAAUGGGCGCAAGCCUGAUGCAGCGACACCGCGUGAGCGAAGAAGUAUUUCGGUAUGUAAAGCUCUAUCAGCAGGGAAGAAAAUGACGGUACCUGACUAAGAAGCUCCGGCUAAAUACGUGCCAGCAGCCGCGGUAAUACGUAUGGCGGCAGCGUUAUCCGGAUUUAUUGGGUUUAAAGGGUGCGUAGGCGGAAUAUCAAGUCAGCGGUAAAAAGUCGGGGCUCAACCCCGUCGUGCCGUUGAAACUGAUGUUCUUGAGUGGGCGAGAAGUAUGCGGAAUGCGUGGUGUAGCGGUGAAAUGCAUAGAUAUCACGCAGAACUCCGAUUGCGAAGGCAGCAUACCGGCGCCCAACUGACGCUGAAGCACGAAAGCGUGGGGAUCGAACAGGAUUAGAUACCCCGGUAGUC
rnacentral:rRNA from 1 species